rnacentral:rRNA from 1 species
UACGUAGGGUGCGAGCGUUAAUCGGAAUUACUGGGCGUAAAGCGUGCGUAGACGGUUAUUUAAGUCGGGUGUGAAAGCCCCGGGCUCAACCUGGGAAUUGCAUUCGAGACUGAAUAGCUAGGGUACGGUAGAGGGAAGCGGAAUUUCCGGUGUAGCGGUGAAAUGCGUAGAUAUCGGAAGGAACAUCAGUGGCGAAAGCGGCUUCCUGGACCAGUACCGACGUUCAGGCACGAAAGCGUGGGGAGCAAACAGG